GCCCGGAUGGUGGAAUAGGUAGACACGCGGGACUUAAAAUCCCGUGGGCAGCGAUGUCCGUGCGGGUUCGAUUCCCGCUCCGGGUA
rnacentral:tRNA from 4 species